GGUCUCACACGACAAAACACCUUUAUACUUCCUUGGGCAGUUAAUAAGUCAUUAAAUAACCUUUUCUUCUCCGAUAUCAGAGGUGAGAGUCUAGCUUCUGUUUCAAGUGCAGCUUCAUCUAGCUUGCGGGUUCUAUCAGCAAGUACACCGAGAUAGCGCGUCACGCGGUCUAGUUUCGCAUUGGAAUAUUCUUGCAGGUCACUAGCUUCUUGUCUCAG
rnacentral:misc_RNA from 1 species